UGUGUGGUUGUCUGGGGGGUCAGAGGGGUGAAAGGGGCAGAAGUGGCUAUGGCCAAGGGGAUGGGUGGUAGGGGGUGCAGUAAAUCAGUAUUUCUAAAGUCUCACAGGAAGUCCUGUGGAACAGUGUCUGACAUCCCUUCCUGUUGCGACAGACACAGUUGAUUGGCAGUGCUGCGGUGAUCCCCUCUAAAACCUGUCCUGGAUCAGCCACCGCCGUCCAAAAUAACAAAAUAACUUUAUCGACAUCAGUUGGUUGGUGACAACAGUGCAGACAGAUAAACGGGGCUUCAUGGCAGUGUGAAUGUAGCUCUAGGCUUGGAGCUGAUAGGUGGACUGACGCCUCAUUUGAGAACUCACAUGGAAUCAGGAAGGGGGAAGCAGACGUGAUUGGUUUGUAUUGGGAGAGAGGCGGGGACUGGGGAGUGGACAGCACCAAAACAUGUCGGACAGUGAUAGCCGUUUGGGUGGGUAGGGAGUCAAACAGCUGUGUGUGUGUGUGUGUGUGUGUGCGUGCGACAUUGGGUGUAUUUAUGACAAUAGUAGGCUGAGUAUAUCUCAAUAAUGAUAUAGGUUGAUCCCAUCGAUCUUGUACUGUAUUGGUCAGCCAUUUGUCACUCUAAGCAUUGUCAUUGUGUAUAUGGAUGUGUACUAUAGAAGUGAGAGUAUGUGUGUGUGUGUCAGUAAAUGUACAUGUGAGAGUAUGUCUAGGUGAGUGUGUGUGUAACCCUGUACAUUAAUGUCUGUGCGAUGCAAGUCCCUGUGUGUAGAGUGGCGGUAGAGGGGUCAGGCUCAGACUGGGAUGAGACUCCGCCUGGGAGAUAGGGGUCAUGCUGGUUUGGGGGCCAGUAGUUGAAGUUGGGAGGUUAUAGCUGGGUUUAGUGGGCAGUAGUUGAAGUUGGGAAGUUAUAGCUGGAUUUAGUGGGCAGUAGUUAAAGUUGGGAGGUUAUAGCUGGGUUUAGUGGGCAGUAGUUGAAGUUGGGAAGUUAUAGCUGGGUUUAGUGGGCAGUAGUUGAAGUUGGGAGGUUAUAGCUGGGUUUAGUGAGCAGUAGUUGAAGUUGGGAGGUUAUAGCUGGGUUUAGCGGGCAGUAGUUGAAGUUGGGAAGUUAUAGCUGGGUUUAGUGGGUAAUAGUUGAAGUUGGGAGGUUAUAGCUGGGUUUAGUGGGCAGUAGUUGAAGUUGGAAGGUUACAGCUGGGAUUAAUUUUCAGUAGUUGAAGUUGGGAGGUUAUAGCUGGGUUUAGUGGGCAGUAGUUGAAGUUGGGAGGUUAUAGCUGGGUUUAGUGGGCAGUAGUUGACGUUGGGAGGUUAUAUCUGGGUUUAGCGGGCAGUAGUUGAAGUUGGGAGGUUAUAGCUGGGUUUAGUGGGCAGUAGUUGAAGUUGGGAGGUUAUAGCUGGGUUUAGUGGGCAGUAGUUGAAGUUGGGAGGUUAUAGCUGGGUUUAGUGGGCAGUAGUUGAAGUUGGGAGGUUACAGCUGGGUUUAAUGGGCAGUAGUUGAAGUUGGGAGGUUAUAGCUGGGUUUAAUGGGCAGUAGUUGACGUUGGGAGGUUAUAGCUGGGUUUAGUGGGCAGUAGUUGACGUUGGGAGGUUAUAUCUGGGUUUAGCGGGCAGUAGUUGAAGUUGGGAGGUUACAGCUGGGUUUAGUGGGCAGUAGUUGAAGUUGGGAGGUUAUAGCUGGGUUUAGCGGGCAGUAGUUGAAGUUGGGAAGUUAUAGCUGGGUUUAGUGGGUAAUAGUUGAAGUUGGGAGGUUAUAGCUGGGUUUAGUGGGCAGUAGUUGAAGUUGGGAGGUUAUAGCUGGGUUUAGCGGUCAGUAGUUGAAGUUGGGAGGUUAUAGCUGGGUUUAGUGGGCAGUAGUUGACGUUGGGAGGUUAUAUCUGGGUUUAGCGGGCAGUAGUUGAAGUUGGGAGGUUACAGCUGGGUUUAGUGGGCGGUAGUUGAAGUUGGGAGGUUAUAGCUGGGUUUAGUGGGCAGUAGUUGAAGUUGGGAAGUUAUAGCUGGGUUUAGUGGGUAAUAGUUGAAGUUGGGAGGUUAUAUCUGGGUUUAGCGGGCAGUAGUUGAAGUUGGGAGGUUAUAGCUGGGUUUAGCGGGCAGUAGUUGAAGUUGGGAGGUUAUAGCUGGGUUUAGAGGGCAGUAGUUGAAGUUGGGAGGUUAUAGCUGGGUUUAGCGGGCAGUAGUUGAAGUUGGGAGGUUAUAGCUGGGUUUAGCGGGCAGUAGUUGAAGUUGGGAGGUUCUAGCUGGGUUUAGCGGGCAGUAGUUGAAGUUGGGAGAUUACAGCUGGGUUUAAUGGGCAGUAGUUGAAGUUGGGAGGUUAUAGCUGGGUUUAGUGGGCAGUAGUUGAAGUUGGGAGAUUAUAGCUGGGUUUAGCGGGCAGUAGUUGAAGUUGGGAGGUUACAGCUGGGUUUAAUGGGCAGUAGUUGAAGUUGAGAGGUUACAGCUGGGUUUAAUGGCAGUAGUUGAAGUUGGGAGGUUAUAGCUGGGUUUAGCGGGCAGUAGUUGAAGUUGGGAGGUUCUAGCUGGGUUUAAUGGGCAGUAGUUGAAGUUGGGAGGUUAUAGCUGGGUUUAGUGGGCAGUAGUUGAAGUUGGGAGAUUAUAACUGGGUUUAAUGGGCAGUAGUUGAAGUUGAGAGGUUACAGCUGGGUUUAAUGGGCAGUAGUUGAAGUUGGGAGGUUAUAGCUGGGUUUAAUGGGCAGUAGUUGACGUUGGGAGGUUAUAUCUGGGUUUAGCGGGCAGUAGUUGAAGUUGGGAGGUUAUAGCUGGGUUUAGUGGGUAGUAGUUGAAGUUGGGAGGUUAUAGCUGGGUUUAGUGGGCAGUAGUUGAAGUUGGGAGGUUAUAUCUGGGUUUAGCGGGCAGUAGUUGAAGUUGGGAGGUUAUAGCUGGGUUUAGCGGGCAGUAGUUGAAGUUGGGAGGUUAUAGCUGGGUUUAGUGGGCAGUAGUUGAAGUUGGGAGGUUAUAGCUGGGUUUAGCGGGCAGUAGUUGAAGUUGGGAGGUUAUAGCUGGGUUUAGCGGGCAGUAGUUGAAGUUGGGAGGUUCUAGCUGGGUUUAGCGGGCAGUAGUUGAAGUUGGGAGGUUAUAGCUGGGUUUAGUGGGCAGUAGUUGAAGUUGGGA